rnacentral:rRNA from 1 species
GGGGAAUUUUCCGCAAUGGGCGAAAGCCUGACGGAGCAAUACCGCGUGAGGGAGGAAGGCUCUUGGGUUGUAAACCUCUUUUCUCAGGGAAUAAGUACUGAAGGUACCUGAGGAAUCAGCAUCGGCUAACUCCGUGCCAGCAGCCGCGGUAAUACGGAGGAUGCAAGCGUUAUCCGGAAUGAUUGGGCGUAAAGCGUCCGCAGGUGGUUAUUCAAGUCUGCUGUCAAAGAAUCUGGCUCAACCAGAUAAAGGCAGUGGAAACUGAGUGACUAGAGUAUGGUAGGGGUAGAGGGAAUUCCUGGUGUAGCGGUGAAAUGCGUAGAGAUCAGGAAGAACACCGGUGGCGAAAGCGCUCUGCUGGACCAAAACUGACACUGAGGGACGAAAGCUAGGGGAGCGAAUGGGAUUAGAUACCCCAGUAGUCCUAGCUGUAAACGAUGGAUACUAGGCGUUGCCCGUAUCGACCCGGGCAGUGUCGUAGCCAACGCGUUAAGUAUCCCGCCUGGGGAGUACGCACGCAAGUGUGAAACUCAAAGGAAUUGACGGGGGCCCGCACAAGCGGUGGAGUAUGUGGUUUAAUUCGAUGCAACGCGAAGAACCUUACCAGGGCUUGACAUGUCCGGAAUCUUCUGGAAACGGAAGAGUGCCUACGGGAGCCGGAACACAGGUGGUGCAUGGCUGUCGUCAGCUCGUGUCGUGAGAUGUUGGGUUAAGUCCCGCAACGAGCGCAACCCUCGUUCUUAGUUGCCAGCAAUUAGGUUGGGCACUCUAGGGAGACUGCCGGUGACAAACCGGAGGAAGGUGGGGAUGACGUCAAGUCAGCAUGCCCCUUACGUCCUGGGCUACACACGUACUACAAUGCUGUGGACAAAGGGCAGCAAGCUAGCAAUAGCAAGCAAAUCCCAUAAACCACGGCUCAGUUCAGAUCGCAGGCUGCAACUCGCCUGCGUGAAGGAGGAAUCGCUAGUAAUUGCAGGUCAGCAUACUGCAGUGAAUUCGUUCCCGGGCCUUGUACACACCGCCCGUCACACCAUGGAAGCUGGUCACGCCCGAAGUCGUUACCCUAACCUUUCGAGGAGGGGGACGCCGAAGGUAGGACUGGUGACUGGGGUGAAGUCGUAACAAGGUAGCCGUACCGGAAGGUGUGGCUGGAUCACCUCCU